UCCUCCUUGAUGACCACUACUGUAAGUUUCUCUUGUCCUCUUUCAUAUUCUCCUUGCCUUAAUUUCCCCAACAAUGACAUAAUUAGCCCAUUUAGCUCCAAAAUGCCAUAAUAACCUCAAAAUGGCAUAAGAACCUUGGUUAGCUCAUUAAUAUUAUAUACUUAGCUAGUUUUCCUCUAAAAUGGGAUAAUUAGCCCAUAUAGCUCCAAAAAGACAUAGUUAGCUAGUUGAG
rnacentral:lncRNA from 1 species